UGUCCUUCUUUCUUUCCUUCUCCUUACUGCCCUGCUUUCUUUCUUUCUUUCUUCCUUUCUUUAUUUCUCCACCGUUUCUUUCUUGUCCCCUUCCUUCUUGCUUUCAUUCUUUCUUUCUUUCUUUCUUUCUUUCUUUCUUUCUUUCUUCUGUCCUUCCUUCCUUCCCUCUCCCUAAUUCCAUGUUUUUCUUUUUUUCUUUCUUUCUUCCUUCCUUCCUCCUUCCUUCCUUCCUUCUCCCUACUUCCCUGCUUUCUUUCUUUCUUUCUUUCUUUCUUUCUCCACUCUUUCUGAUUUGCCCACUUCCUUCCUUCCUUCCUUCCUUCCUUCCUUCUUUUUUUCUUUCUUUCUUUCUUUCUUCCUUCCUUUCUCAUUCCUUCCUUCAUUCUUCCUACUUCCCUGCUUCUGUCUUUCUUUCUUUGUUUCCCCUUCCUUCCUUCAUUCUCUCUCCUUUCCUGAAUCCUUUUUGUCCUUCUUUCUUUCCUUCUCCUUACUGCCCUGCUUUCUUUCUUUCUUUCUUCCUUUCUUUAUUUCUCCACCGUUUCUUUCUUGUCCCCUUCCUUCCUCCUCCCUUCUUUCUUUCUUUCUUUCUCUGUCCUCCUUGCCCUUGUAGUUUGAGACCUGCUGAUGUAGCUAACAGAACUAGCCCUGAUAAAGGGAUUAGGAGGGAAUAUGACUGCAGACCCCUCACCUGGCAGCUGCAGCAUAUUUUAGUUUAUUGAUAAUGAAUUGCAAUGUAGCUAAAACCCUAAACCUGCAGACAAAAAAAAAAAUCAACCCAAAAGUAACUGCAUUCUGCAAAGCAGCCAAAGACUUCGGUUAAAUAUCACGAGUUACAGCCUGGAGAGCCUGCUCUUCUUCUGUCAGCUCUGGUUAUAGUGUUAGGAUUAUAAAAAGAAAAAGAAAAGAAAAAGGAUAUAUUAUUAUUGCUCAUUACACCAGGAUCCUUUGUGUCUUCUGUGUCAGCUUGCGUGACAGUUGGGUGCAAAGGUUUGGGUUAAAAAAAAAGGAAAAUGUCUUACAGUUGAGCUACACAGCACAGAAGAAUUCCAACAAGUUCAAACUUUUACGUGAGUGAAUAAAACACAAGGCAAAAUCAGUCAGGAAUAUUCUGCAAGCAGGCUUUAUUUUGCUGUAGGUUCAAUUAUUCAUUUUAUUCUGAAGAUGUGCAAACUUUUGCACUCAGCUGUAUCACAUCUGUGAUUUUACAUUUUGGAUAUUAUUAAUAGUUAUUUAAUCUGAAUCUGGGGGGGAGGGGGGAACUGGCCACAUGAACAUGAAUUUCUUUCCUUCUUGCUUUCAUUCUUUCUUUCUUUCUUUCUUUCUUCUGUCCUUCCUUCCUUCCCUCUCACCAAUUCCCUGCAUUUCUUUCUUUCUUUCUUUCUUUCUUUCUUUCUUUCUUUCUUUCUUUCUUUCUCCUCUCAUUCUUCCUUCCCUCUCCCCAA
ensembl:lncRNA